rnacentral:rRNA from 1 species
CAGUCGCCGCGGGAAUACGGAGGGGGCUAGCGUUGUUCGGAAUUACUGGGCGUAAAGCGCACGUAGGCGGCUUGGUAAGUUAGAGGUGAAAGCCCAGGGCUCAACCCUGGAAUUGCCUUUAAGACUGCCGAGCUAGUAGGUGUGAGAGGUGAGUGGAAUUCCGAGUGUAGAGGUGAAAUUCGUAGAUAUUCGGAAGAACACCAGUGGCGAAGGCGGCUCACUGGCUCAUUCUAGACGCUGAGGUGCGAAAGCGUGGGGAGCAAACAGGAUUAGAUACCCGAGUAGUCCCUGUCUCUUAUAC